AUGGCCAUAUCAUGUUAAAACACUGGCUCUCAUCUGAACAUUGAUGUUAAGUAACAUUGAGCCUGGUCAGUACCUAGAUUGAUGAAUGCUUGUGAAUCUCAGGUGCUGUAA